CUUGCGUGGAGGAGAUCGCACGACUUUCUGUUUUCCAGCACACCAUGAACGCUGACUGGACGCUGCCGCUCCGCAAGGUGCCUGUCCACGCCACCAAGGACCCCUCUGUCGCGUGGAACACGGUACACCUAUGCUAUGAGCAGACGUUUUUCGGUCAAAUCACGAGUCUGCGCUACAAUCACGCUGGCUCGUUGCUUGGAGGCACUUCCACAAACCAAUUUGCACUCCUGCGUGUCCCCCAGACGGAUGGCGUAGUGGUGAACGAACAGACGGAGCGCAAGAACUACUCCGUCCGCUUUCGCGAGGAUGACAAGCUUUACAUUCAAGCUGUGGACCAAAGGGUGAUUUUGCGGUCCUCGGAGACCGCGUUCGAGCGGCAGUAUCUAGGGCAUUCGCGGGAUGUGCGCUCCGCCAUCUUUAUUGGCCGACAUAACUUUGCGUCUGCAAGCGACGACACGACGGUGAAGCUGUGGGAUCUGAUGAGUGACGAUGAUCUCGGUACGGCUCGGAUUCACGCUGACUACGUGCGCUGUCUUGAGCCAUACGCUGGUGGCUCGUUCUUUAGCGGCUCCUACGAUCACCGAGUGAACUUGUGGGAUCCUCGCACCGGCAUGGCCGCGCCGCUGCAAACCUCGGGGGACGUCAUUACCCAAGCCGUGGAGGCGCUCUGCUUCGUACCGAGUGAGGAGAUUGUGGCUGUUGGUGCCGGCGAUCGCGUCGUCGUCUUUGACCCACGCAAGGGCCUUAGUACGCCGUUGUUUCAGGGCUCGUUUCACACCAAGUCAGUCGUCGCGGUCGCCUACUCGCAAAAGCUGCGCAGUCUCCUCACGGGAUCUCUGGAUUGUCGUGUAAAAAUGUUCUCGCUUGACGGCAGUGAGCUGCGCUGCAUUGCGAACAAGCGCUUUGAAAACGGUGUGACAUCGCUGGCGGUGCACCCUGGGUCGACGGAGUACGCCGUGGGCAGCACAACAGGCGAGCUCAACGUGUAUCGCUUCAGGGAGGCGGACAUGGAUAAAGAAGAUGCUUCCGAGGAGCUCGUUCUGGACAAGAAGACGCGGUCGAAGGAGCAGGUGCUGCAAGACAAGAUGAAAGAAGUGCAGUUUGAGUUGGGAAGCUACCAGUACGGCAAAGCGCUCAAGACUGCGUUGUACUCCCGACAUCCCGAUGUCCUCGUUUCCACAUUUGAGGAGCUUGUGCGUCGAGGCGCGGUGCACGUCGCGCUGAACAACCAAAACGACCGCACCAUUGUGCGCGUUCUUCGCUUUGCCACUCACUACGUCGAAAAGCCGCAGUUCACGGACACAAUGCUCGUCGUGUUCGAGACCGUUUUCGAUAUCUAUAGCGCCUAUGUGGGCAAAAGUGCCUUCUUUCACCGGGAGAUUCUGAAUGCGCAAAAGAAGAUCGGCGCGUCGCUUGCGGUGAUGCAGCGCAUGGAAAGGAGUAUGGGCAUCAUGGAGAUGAUCGUGCAUUCGGAAUAGGGGCGAGGGCAAGACGUUGCACUUGCGUGGAUGGCAAUGCUAGCCAGCCGCGCCCCUCACACUAUCCCCUUACUCGUCGAUGUCGGAUAAGGGUCAGUAAGUGUAAUGAAUCGUAAUGGGUCGUUCAACUGGUUGCAUACACCGAGGACAAGCAGCGACAACAGAAGAAGCUCAUUGUCUGGCACGACAAGGAAAAAAGCAGCAGAGUAGUGCAGAGGUCGGUGACGAUCCGGGUGGCAGUAUCAUCACUC
rnacentral:misc_RNA from 1 species